rnacentral:rRNA from 1 species
CCGGAGGAAGUGGGGAUGACGUCAAGUCAUCAUGGCCCUUACGGCCAGGGCUACACACGUGCUACAAUGGUCGGUACAAAGGGUUGCCAAGCCGCGAGGUGGAGCUAAUCCCAUAAACCGAUCGUAGUCCGGAUCGCAGUCUGCAACUCGACUGCGUGAAGUCGGAAUCGCUAGUAAUCGUGAAUCAGAAUGUCACGGUGAAUACGUUCCCGGGCCUU